rnacentral:rRNA from 1 species
CCUGGCUCAGAUUGAACGCUGGCGGCAUGCUUUACACAUGCAAGUCGAACGGUAACAGGUCUUCGGAUGCUGACGAGUGGCGAACGGGUGGGUAAUACAUCGGAACGUGCCUAGCAGUGGGGGAUAACUACUCGAAAGAGUAGCUAAUACCGCAUGAGAUCUACGGAUGAAAGCAGGGGACCUUCGGGCCUUGUGCUACUAGAGCGGCUGAUGGCAGAUUAGGUAGUUGGUGGGGUAAAGGCUUACCAAGCCUGCGAUCUGUAGCUGGUCUGAGAGGACGACCAGCCACACUGGGACUGAGACACGGCCCAUACUCCUACGGGAGGCAGCAGUGGGGAAUUUUGGACAAUGGGCGAAAGCCUGAUCCAGCAAUGCCGCGUGCAGGAUGAAGGCCCUCGGGUUGUAAACUGCUUUUGUACGGAACGAAAA